rnacentral:rRNA from 1 species
ACUCCUGCGGGAGGCAGCAGUGGGGAAUAUUGGACACUGGGCGCAAGCCUGAUCCAGCCAUGCCGCGUGAGUGAUGAAGGCCCUAGGGUUGUAAAGCUCUUUCACCGGUGAAGAUAAUGACGGUAACCGGAGAAGAAGCCCCGGCUAACUUCGUGCCAGCAGCCGCGGUAAUACGAAGGGGGCUAGCGUUGUUCGGAUUUACUGGGCGUAAAGCGCACGUAGGCGGACUAUUAAGUCAGGGGUGAAAUCCCGGGGCUCAACCCCGGAACUGCCUUUGAUACUGGUAGUCUUGAGUUCGAGAGAGGUGAGUGGAAUUCCGAGUGUAGAGGUGAAAUUCGUAGAUAUUCGGAGGAACACCAGUGGCGAAGGCGGCUCACUGGCUCGAUACUGACGCUGAGGUGCGAAAGCGUGGGGAGCAAACAGGAUUAGAAACCCCGGUAGUCC